rnacentral:lncRNA from 1 species
UCAAUUAUUACACAAAGACUAUUAUACCUUUAAUGGAUAUUUAUCGUAGAGUUCUAGCUGAUCGUAGAGUAGCUGAUCGUAGAGUAGCAGCUGGGUUCCUUACAGAAACCUAUGACAAAAUUUAUAAACAUUUUAUAGCUACAAUGACAAAUUGUGAUUGUUGGGACCAUAUACUAAAUCCAGUUUUGCUUCCUCCACAUUACCAUAAGCUUCUUGGUAGACCCAAGAAGUGUAGAAGAAAAAAUAGAGAUGAACUCAAACCUGUUCCAGAUGGGUGCUUGGGAAAGAGGCAUAAAGUAUCCCUAAGAUGCAGUAAAUGUAAACAAGUUGGUCAUAAUGCUAGAAGUUCAGACUGAAGACUUUGAUUUAGCCCCAGCGGUGAGUCAAUCCUCUCAGUCCCAACCAUUUGUGAGCCCAUCUUCUCAGUCCCAACUUGUGCAAAAAAGACAAAAACUGAAUGUAAGUGUGGAAAACUCUCAUCCUUUAAUAUUCAGCAAUGUUUAAUAAAUUUAAUGAAUGACUUUUGUUUUUUAAUUUAUGUCACAUGUAUAUGGAAAGAUUGCUUCUGUUGUUAGCAGAUCAUCAGUUGGUGGCUUCCAACCACCUAGGCAAAGUUCAGAUGAAGU